CGAGAGGCUUCGGCAAUGGGGGAAACCCUGACCGAGCGACGCCGCGUGGGCGAUGAAGGCCGUUAGGUUGUAAAGCCCUGUCGUGUGGGACGAAUUCAGGAGGGUGAACAACCCUUCUGUUUGACGGUACCGCAAAAGGAAGCUCCGGCUAACUCCGUGCCAGCAGCCGCGGUAAUACGGGGGGAGCGAACGUUGUUCGGAAUCACUGGGCGUAAAGGGCGUGCAGGCGGCUCGGUAAGUGGAAGGUGAAAUGCCCUGGCUCAACCAGGGAACUGCCUUCCAGACUGCCGAGCUUGAGUGCGGGAGAGGAUGGGAGAAUUCCCGGUGUAGCGGUGGAAUGCAUUGAUAUCGGGAGGAAUACCAGUGGCGAAGGCGCCCAUCUGGCCCGACACUGACGCUCAGGCGCGAAAGCUAGGGGAGCAAAC
rnacentral:rRNA from 1 species